rnacentral:rRNA from 1 species
AUUGAACGCUGGCGGCAGGCUUAACACAUGCAAGUCGAACGGUAACAGGUCUUCGGAUGCUGACGAGUGGCGAACGGGUGAGUAAUACAUCGGAACGUGCCCGAGAGUGGGGGAUAACGAGGCGAAAGCUUUGCUAAUACCGCAUACGAUCUCAGGAUGAAAGCAGGGGACCGCAAGGCCUUGCGCUCACGGAGCGGCCGAUGGCAGAUUAGGUAGUUGGUGGGAUAAAAGCUUACCAAGCCGACGAUCUGUAGCUGGUCUGAGAGGACGACCAGCCACACUGGGACUGAGACACGGCCCAGACUCCUACGGGAGGCAGCAGUGGGGAAUUUUGGACAAUGGGCGCAAGCCUGAUCCAGCCAUGCCGCGUGCAGGAUGAAGGCCUUCGGGUUGUAAACUGCUUUUGUACGGAACGAAAAGACUCUGGUUAAUACCUGGGGUCCAUGACGGUACCGUAAGAAUAAGCACCGGCUAACUACGUGCCAGCUGCCGCCGUAACAC